rnacentral:rRNA from 1 species
AGUGAACGCUGGCGGUAGGCCUAACACAUGCAAGUCGAACGGCGGCACAGUAAGAGCUUGCUCUUACGGGUGGCGAGUGGCGGACGGGUGAGGAAUGCAUCGGAAUCUACUUUUUCGUGGGGGAUAACGUAGGGAAACUUACGAUACUACCGCAUACGACCUACGGGUGAAAGCAAGGGAUCUUCGGACCUUGCGCGAUUGAAUGAGCCGAUGUCGGAUUAGCUAGUUGGCGGGGUAAGGGCCCACCAAGGCACCGAUCCAUAGCUGGUCUGAGAGGAUGGUCCGCCACUCUGGAUCUGAGACGCGGUCCAGACCCCUACGGGGCGCCGGAGUGGGGAAUUUUGGACAAUGGGCGCAAGCCUGAUCCAGCCAUACCGCGUGGGUGAAGAAGGCCUUCGGGUUGUAACGCCCUUUUGUUGGGAAAGAAAAGCAGCAGGUUAAUACCCCGCUGUUCUGACGGUACCAAAAGAAUAAGCACCGGCUAACUUCUU